UAAUUAACUUGCCCAACACAAAAGCAAAACACACCGCCUCCUCCCUUCCUUCUCCUAAUUCAUCACCCGCUCCACAAUCCUCGUCAUCGGCCACCAAGCACCCCUAGACACCGCCCAACGCCCAUCAGCAAACAAGUACCCCCAGGCACCGCCCAACGCCCAUCAGCCACCACCAUCAAAGCUUCAAGUUGCGGUCUCCGUCCAAGCUUCAAGUUGCGGUCUCCGGACCAGUACUCUGUAGAAAGAAAAAAGAAGAUAGAGGGAGACCCAUCUGUGAUUUCAACAACUCUUUUUCUCUCCUAACUUCUCCUUUUCAUUCAAGAAAACAUCUAUGCUUUUCAAUUUCCUCAUCUUACAAUUUCCCCAUCUUAAUCCCUUUUGUUAUGGAGUACUCUGUAGAAAGAAAAAAGAAGAUAGAGGGAGACCCAUCUGUGAUUUCAACGAACAAAGUCUUUGAGAUCGGCCCACUUCGCUUACAGGUGCUUUUCUUAUUUCUAAUCUGAUUCAUGGACCUCAAUUGCAUGCAAAUAUUAUCCUUUUUUGCUUCUUUUUGUUGUUAUCAUUUUGUUUUUUUUUUCUGGUAUUCAACUCUGGUUUCAAAAUGGUUUCUUUAAUGUUGUAUUUCUUGGAACUGAAAUUUUUUUUCAUGGGCUUAUAAACUUUGGAUUAUUUCCAUGUUAUUUCUUUGUCUGGUUGCUGAUAAAUUAUGGAAAAUGUAUACAAGGGUUAAGAAAAUAUGGUAUUUCUUAAGUUUUAUUUCCCCGUUUGGUUGAUGACAAAAAGUGGGAACAAUAGCAAAAUCUACCUUCGUUUUUACUAUCAAUUUUAGUUUCAUUGUACAAGACUGUUUAAUUGUAAAAUACUUGGAUAAUUGUGUUAAUUGUUGUUCUAGCUGGACAAAAUUGUGGGAUAGAGAGAAACUGUGCUAAGUCAACAAUUUGGCUACUCUAUUUGUAUGAUGAAAAUGUACAGCUGUAUACAUUAUAACAUGCUAUUCUUGAAUUUCUUUCAUUUUGAGUCUUUGACCAUUACGGUCUCUGCAUCCCCAUAUUCUUUUCAUGGGAUGAAAAUCUAUGUACAUGAAUAAUUAUAUUGUGUUACUUAAACUAUGGAUAAAUUUUUAAUUAAACUA